UUAUAAAGGUAGCAUCUAUUACUUUCCGAUCUAUGAUGAACGCAAUGAGCUUGGGCAUUAAGGAAAAUGGGUCCGGUGCUGAAACAGAACAGAACAAAUAGACAGAGAGAAAAACUAAGCUAGUCCACAAACGACAACAAAUAAAACAGAGCCAAUGCAAAAGUCAACUCUAAAUUACUCCUAUUUUCACACCUUCUAAUCCUUUUCAUAGUGUCA
rnacentral:misc_RNA from 1 species